rnacentral:rRNA from 1 species
UACGAAGGGGGGCUAGCGUUGCUCGGAAUCACUGGGCGUAAAGCGCGUGUAGGCGGUCCGGUAAGUCCGCUGUGAAAGUCGGGGGCUCAACCCUCGAAUGCCGGUGGAUACUGUCGGGCUAGAGUGCGGAAGAGGCGAGUGGAAUCCUGGUGUAGCGGUGAAAUGCGCAGAUAUCAGGAGGAACACCAAUUGCGAAGGCAGCUCGCUGGGACGUAACUGACGCUGAGACGCGAAAGCGUGGGGAGCAAACAGG